rnacentral:tRNA from 1 species
GCCCUUGUGGUGUAAUGGUAGCACACUAGGCUCAUUUUUAAUAGGUCCUGGUUCGAGUCCCGGCGAGAGCA